AAAGCGAGCGGCGGAUGGGUGAGUAACACGUGGGGAACCUGCCCCUAAGUCUGGGAUACCAUUUGGAAACAGGUGCUAAUACCGGAUAAUAAAGCAGAUCGCAUGAUCAGCUUUUGAAAGGCGGCGUAAGCUGUCGCUAAGGGAUGGCCCCGCGGUGCAUUAGCUAGUUGGUAAGGUAACGGCUUACCAAGGCGACGAUGCAUAGCCGAGUUGAGAGACUGAUCGGCCACAUUGGGACUGAGACACGGCCCAAACUCCUACGGGAGGCAGCAGUAGGGAAUCUUCCACAAUGGACGCAAGUCUGAUGGAGCAACGCCGCGUGAGUGAAGAAGGUUUUCGGAUCGUAAAGCUCUGUUGUUGGUGAAGAAGGAUAGAGGUAGUAACUGGCCUUUAUUUGACGGUAAUCAACCAGAAAGUCACGGCUAACUACGUGCCAGCAGCCGCGGUAAUACGUAGGUGGCAAGCGUUGUCCGGAUUUAUUGGGCGUAAAGCGAGCGCAGGCGGAAAAAUAAGUCUAAUGUGAAAGCCCUCGGCUUAACCGAGGAACUGCAUCGGAAACUGUUUUUCUUGAGUGCAGAACAGGAGAGUGGAACUCCAUGUGUAGCGGUGGAAUGCGUAGAUAUAUGGAAGAACACCAGUGGCGAAGGCGGCUCUCUGGUCUGCAACUGACGCUGAGGCUCGAAAGCAUGGGUAGCGAACAGGAUUAGAUACCCUGGUAGUCCAUGCCGUAAACGAUGAGUGCUAAGUGUUGGGAGGUU
rnacentral:rRNA from 1 species